rnacentral:rRNA from 1 species
GCCUACGGGAGGCAGCAGUCGAGAAUUUUUCUCAAUGGGGGAAACCCUGAAGGAGCGACGCCGCGUGGGGGAUGAAUGGCUUCGGCCCGUAAACCCCUGUCAUUUGUGAACAAACCUUUUCGUUUAACAAACGGAAAGCUGAUAGUAGCGAAAGAGGAAGGGACGGCUAACUCUGUGCCAGCAGCCGCGGUAAUACAGAGGUCCCAAGCGUUGUUCGGAUUCACUGGGCGUAAAGGGUGCGUAGGUGGUGAAGUAAGUUCGAUGUGAAAUCUCCGGGCUCAACCCGGAAAUUGCAUUGAAAACUACUUCGCUUGAGGGUUGGAGGGGAGACUGGAAUUCUCGGUGUAGCAGUGAAAUGCGUAGAUAUCGAGAGGAACACCAGUGGCGAAGGCGAGUCUCUGGACAACACCUGACACUGAGGCACGAAAGCUAGGGGAGCAAACAGGAUUAGAUACCCCCGUAC